GUCACACACAGACAUGCUUCCCCCAUUCUCUGAUAACACCAUAUCAAAUCACUAACAAACACGUCUCCAGUCUUCAAAAUAAUUUAGUUAUUAGAAAAGUGAUUGGACAAACCGGUAAAGAUUUUUUUUUUCCCACCAACAAAAAGCAAAUCAGAACAGAGUUAGUCUUUUUCUCCAGUUUACCCAGCCUUCAGAGCUCCAACUGCAGUCCCAUCAUAAUCAUUUUAGACUCCAAAGCAGUGACAGCAUUGGAUGCAUAAUUUUCAACACAUGUUUUAUUAAUCCAUUCUUCCUGUGCUUCAUUUAAAAUACUGGAAACUAUAAAAAGAUAAGCGUGUUACUCCUCUGCCAGGAAAAAGGGAAGAAAAAAAAAAAAAACUAACCAGAAAAUAUGAAAAAAAAAAAAAGAAAGAAAGAAAGAAACCAAAAAACCAGAGCAACUGGAAUCUCGGUCUUGAGGAAACACAUGGGAUUGAAGCAUCCGCUGGAGCUCUGUCACCGACUGUCAUCUGUGACUCUGGCGCUGAAGCCUCCAGGCCGGAGCGAGGAGGCUGUGCGUGCAAGCCGGCCACUCUGCUAAAAAUGAAAGAUUCCAAGGGUCUGAAAUAUGCAGCCACAGGAGAGAAGGAACUGGGACUCCUGAGUCAUUCUUUG
ensembl:lncRNA